rnacentral:lncRNA from 1 species
CAAAAUUCAGAUAAAUCCCAUUUUAUUACUUUACAAGUAGCAAGAAAAAGGGUAAAAAACAAACAAACUUCUCACAUUACCAGAAUCCAUCUCUGGUCUACAAAAUAAGAUCAAGUAGUUAUAUUGUUGCUGGGUUCAACACUAGACAGACUUAGAUUCAGUACUACAAAUAAUUCUCAAUUGUAAGGCCAAAAAUUGUCAUCCCUGAAGCAUUUUGGGUAAUAGUGUCCACUUCCAAUAGGAAACCCUUCAUUCAUUUUCUGCGGAUUUUAACAUCAAGUGUCCACUGAACCUUCCCUUCUGGCAAAGGAAUGGACUUUGGUAAGCGGAGCGGCACCUCAAACUCUCCCAAAGAUGGCAAAGGAGUUGGCAAAUGUAAGUUUUCAGGCUCAAUGCGCACAGAGAGUUGCCUUGCCACCUGACACGACAGAAACAGAAUUUGUAUAUUACCUAAAAAGUGAGAAAAAUCAACACGUAAAUUAUCCUGAUACAAUAUACUGGCCAGCUCCACCAUUAUCAUGUUAAAGCAACAUUUUUCAUUGAAUUGCAACAACAAAAAUUUACAGCCAGAAUCCAUGGGUUGCAGUGCAGGCCCUUUUUCCACUUUGGUGCAUUACUUGCCAAAACAGAACUUUAGACACAACAUCUCAACUCUUCACAAAACUUAGCAAGGUCAAUGUUUUAUAUAUCCAAAAUACAAUAUAAAUCCAACACCUAAUGCCCACUUUUACAUCAGAAUGGCAAGAGAAUUGAGAAGGUUGUUCCUCUAUCCUCCCCACCACUUGCUUGGAACUUGCUCCUUUUUUCAGCUUUUUGGAUUAAUUAAGACACUUAAAUACAUAUAUUGUCAUGAACUUAACCAAUGAGGUUGAAGGACCACAGUUAAGCAGGCUAAAUGGCAUAAGCCUUUCAGUGUUGAACUCCCAACUUAAGAGCAAAAUGUGUAUAU